UGGGUUGUAACACUACAACUCCCAUGAUUCAUAGUGUUUGUUGUCUUCCUGUUAGGCGGCCAGUUCAAGUUGCCAUAGCAGACGAUAGCGGUAUCACAAGUUGAUCAUCCGAAAAUUGUCUAACAACUGGGCAUUCGGCCCCUGAUUCAUGGCAGUAUGGACUCCUCCAGUGAAUCUGGCACAUAUAAUAGACCCAGAGGGCAUCGAUGGCGGGCUAGGGAAAGGUCAGACAGUGGGUUUCCAAGGGAUACACAUGUAUCAGACAUAUCGGUCAAAAUCGACACUUUAGCAAACACUCUCCAGGAUACAAGCCGAAAUCUAAACAAAGUGGAUCGGAUGUUGGAACAGUACAAGGAACACGCAGAUGAUCAAGUUGAAGCCAUGGCGACGCUGAGAGAGAGCUUAGAGGAGUCAGUCCAGCAUCUGCAGGGACAGCGUUUGAGGAAGUCUACCAGUGGGUGGAGAACUUCGAAUUCCAUACUGCAAACAAGUGACUUGGAGGAUGGCAGCGCCACAGGUACAGCAACAUGAGAUGUAGCUUCUCUUUAUAUAUAUAUAUAUAUACUGUAUAUGGGAUGAAAAGUUUUCACCAAAAUAGAGAAACCGUUUCUAAGUUUUUAGUGUGCACAAAUAUUUUACAGUACUUUAGAAAUGCUCGAAAAUGUAUCUGUUAAUGUAUUCAAUCAAUUAUAUUUGAUUAACCAAAGUCAAUUUCACGUCUGUCACAUCCAUAACAGAGAGAUGUCACAUCCAUAAA
rnacentral:lncRNA from 1 species